GACGAACGCUGGCGGCGUGCCUAAUACAUGCAAGUCGAGCGGACAGAUGGGAGCUUGCUCCCUGAUGUUAGCGGCGAACGGGUGAGUAACACGUGGGUAACCUGCCUGUAAGACUGGGAUAACUCCGGUAAACCGGGGCUAAUACCGGAUGCUUGUUUGAACCGCAUGGUUCAAACAUAAAAAGUGGCUUCGGCUACCACUUACAGAUGGACCCGCGGCGCAUUAGCUAGUUGGUGAGGUAACGGCUCACCAAGGCGACGAUGCGUAGCCGACCUGAGAGGGUGAUCGGCCACACUGGUACUGAGACACGGCCCAGACUCCUACGGGAGGCAGCAGUAGGGAAUCUUCCGCAAUGGACGAAAGUCUGACGGAGCGACGCCGCGUGAGUGAUGAAGGUUUUCGGAUCGUAAAGCUCUGUUGUUAGCGAAGAACAAGUGCCGUUCAAAUAGGGCGGCACCUUGACGGUACCUAACCAGAAAGCCACGGCUAACUACGUGCCAGCAGCCGCGGUAAUACGUAGGUGGCAAGCGUUGUCCGGAAUUAUUGGGCGUAAAGUGCUCGCAGGCGGUUUCUUAAGUCUGAUGUGACAGCCCCCGGCUCAACCGGAGAGGGUCAUUGGAAACUGGGGAACUUGAGUGCAGAAGAGGAGAGUGGAAUUCCACGUGUAGCGGUGAUAUGCGUAGAGAUGUGGAGGAACACCAGUGGCGAAGGCGACUCUCUGGUCUGUAACUGACGCUGAGGAGCGAUAGCGUGGGGAGCGAACAGGGUUAGAUACCCUGGUAGUCCACGCCGUAAACGAUGAGUGCUAAGUGUUAGGGUGUUUCCGCGCCUUAGUGCUGCAGCUAACGCAUUAAGCACUCCGCCUGAGGAGUACGGUCGC
rnacentral:rRNA from 1 species